AGUAACGCGUGGGAACGUACCUUUUGGUUCGGAACAACUGAGGGAAACUUCAGCUAAUACCGGAUAAGCCCUUACGGGGAAAGAUUUAUCGCCGAAAGAUCGGCCCGCGUCUGAUUAGCUAGUUGGUGAGGUAAUGGCUCACCAAGGCGACGAUCAGUAGCUGGUCUGAGAGGAUGAUCAGCCACAUUGGGACUGAGACACGGCCCAAACUCCUACGGGAGGCAGCAGUGGGGAAUAUUGGACAAUGGGCGCAAGCCUGAUCCAGCCAUGCCGCGUGAGUGAUGAAGGCCCUAGGGUUGUAAAGCUCUUUUGUGCGGGAAGAUAAUGACGGUACCGCAAGAAUAAGCCCCGGCUAACUUCGUGCCAGCAGCCGCGGUAAUACGAAGGGGGCUAGCGUUGCUCGGAAUCACUGGGCGUAAAGGGUGCGUAGGCGGGUCUUUAAGUCAGGGGUGAAAUCCUGGAGCUCAACUCCAGA
rnacentral:rRNA from 1 species